AUGGGGAGGAAAGGAGAAAUGAGGGGCGGUGGGAGUUUGACUGAGCUUUGGUCAUCUUGUGGUGUGUGGAUGGUAAAUUUUAUGGAGUACUUCACUGGAGAUAUGUUGUCUGACAUUCCUACACAGGAACAUAUGACAGAUUUUAGAACAAAACUAGCUGUCAUUUUAGUGGACUCAGAAUUGAAUGAUGAUAAUAUAAGAAAUCGAGACAUGGAAGAGGACGAUAACAACACAGAUCCCACAGAAUGUAUGAUUCUGGAUAGACCCCCUGAGAAUUUCAAAAUAUCAAAUACAUCAACAGAAGUUGAGCUCAUCUCGCGGUCAUUUAUUCUUUCACCGUCUGUCAACCCAACAAACGAUGAUUUAAUAGAUGAACUUUGCUUGUUCAUCAGUAUGGUUGAUGAUGUCGCUCUACUAGAAAAAGUUGUCUCAAUUUUCGAUCCGAUACCAAUACCUACUUUCGGAAAGAAUGUACAUAAAACCGUGGCCGACAAUCUAAACCUUGCGCUUGAAGUUGCAAACCCUACAUUCAAGGAUGAUAUCUCUAAAUGGGAAUGCAUAGUUCAUGAUGCUCCAACAAACUCACACUGUGCCUUGUCUGGUUAUUUGGUUUUUAAUUACAUGCACUCAUUGUGCGAUGGAAAGCUAUAUUUUCCCAUACCCCAGGAUGGUUUUCAACUGAGGAAGCAAUUUUUUGUGCAUAUUUUAAAGUACGAAGAGAAUGAAGCUCAAAACAAUAUCCCAUACAUUGAACGAAGCAUCAUUGAUCGCAUCUAUAGAUGGACCUUCAUUGCUUCAAAAGAUGGACCUUCAAAACAUGCUUAG
rnacentral:rRNA from 1 species